UACAUCUUCAACUGAAGGCUGCUACUAGA
rnacentral:piRNA from 1 species